rnacentral:miRNA from 1 species
UUUUUUCUUCUUUUUGCUGUU